rnacentral:lncRNA from 1 species
GUGGUGGAAAUGAAAUCCGUAAUGUAACUUUUCAUUUCAUCUGCAAGCAGUCCUCAAUAGUUUUAUUUUGAUUCUCUUGGGGUGAUUCUAUCAAUAGCUUAUCUACCGAUAUAUAAAUGGUUUUUUCGAGCCCUUGAGUAUGCUUAGUUUUAUUUUCAUUAGUUCAUGGGCAACAAACGAAGGAUACAAUUUACUUGCCCAUGAAAUAAAUGAGAAUAAAGCGAAGAAUGCUAAGGAGCUCUAGAUAACCGUUUGUAUAUUGGUAGGUUAUCGAUAAAUCGUCUUGAGAUCAUCCACACACACUUACGAGAGUGAUAGAAGUUCACUUGUAAGGUGAUCUUAUAAAGGUUCAAAGAGCAGUUUUCAUGAUCAGCAACAACAGAGCAGUUGCCAAGGUGUUGCAAAAAAGAUAUCACAUUUUGUAAUUUUUGUUGAGAUGUAUAUGUGCAACUAUCAAGACCUUGAUACUCUAGAGGAUGAGGUCAUUGUCAUAGAGUACGAGAGCAUGCACCUUAUUCUUUAAUGGAGUUGAAGGACCAUGGCCUGACCUGACCCAACCCAACGCACAUUUAACCUGACUUUUUUCUGAAGACGACGUGAAGUCAUUGAUCGAAUGGAGUAUGUUCUAACCACUUCGAAUGGAGACUCUAAACGAACUAUGAAGUGGAGGCCUAUUUGCAAUUGAUUCUGCCUUCCAAAUUCAAAGCACAUUCUCAAAUCUCAAUCGCAAGACCAAGUACGUUAAUCAGUAUCAAAGACAAAGACAUAAAGUAGCAAUUAUGAUUAAUGAUUUAAGGAAAACAGCGAUUGUAAUCAGUAGUACAUACAAUUCUGGAUUUAAGAAUGAUAAAUUUCUUGAAUAUCAUAUAAAAUAUAUAGAGAUUAAUAGGAAAUUUUGCCGUUAAAAUUAACCUACCUUGAGUAAUUAGCCCCAAUUUCGUCCAUGAAUUCUCCUCUAAUCUCGACGCCAUGAGUGAUUAUCGAUAAAGCAGGUCGCGAUGGGAAGUGAGAAUGAUGAUUGCGGCUGUAUUUUGGGGAUUUUAGGCGUCGCUGAUUAAGUACUUCGCUGAAUUGGGAUGGAGUCGGAUGAUGAAUGGUUGAUGGUUGUUGCAGCCUGCAGACCUACAGUUAUGUCUUUAGUUUAACUCGAAAAUGGGCUUUGAAUGUGGGUCUUUUUUCCUACACUAUUUUUAUCUGGGCUCUUUAAUAAAAGAACUGGUUUAGUUUUGCUUUUAUUUGGACCUAAUAUGUACAAUUGUUAAAACUUGCCAAAAAUGGGAGGCCUUUAAUUUUUGGUGGCCCUAGGCCCGUGCUUAAAGUGGAAAGCCUAACGGGCCGGCUUGAAUUUGAUUGCUAUAUAUUUCUCAUUUAUCUAUAAGUAUAUAUUUGAAGUUUAACAGAGAAUUUUAUUGAUACUAUUAAUACUUUGGGAUGGAGUAAUUCGGGUUAGUUGAUAAGAAUCUUGAGGUACUUUUAUUAAUUACUAGAUGUAAAACCCGUGUGAAAACACGGGUGGUUUUAAAAAAAGUUACAUACCACAUUUUAUUAAACGACGAAUGACUAUACGUUUUUUAAGGUUUAAUUAAAAAUAGAUUAUAAACAAAGGGAACAUAUUUUAAAUAACGAAUAAAUAACAAAUAAAAGGGAACAUCUUUUAAAUGACAAAUAAAUAACAAUCGAGCACACAUUGUUCUAUAUUCCAUGAUCGUAAAUCUUGAAACAUAUCUUGAUGCAAGAUCCUUCAUUGUUGGGGUAUAGCGUUUCAUAAAUCUUUCAUCUUCAUUUCUUAAAAUACAACCUUCACCACAUGAUCCUACACAAGGAAUAAGAUGAAACUGGUUAUGAUAUGCUUCAACUUAUCUUUUAUUGACACUGGUGUGGUGACCAAAACCACACCAACCUUCAAUGCUAAGGGACCAAACACCAUAUAACAUAUUGAAGUAUGUUUACCUCUAUAUACAUACACUAACAAAUACAUAUACUUUGUCCUUUGUCAACAUACUUUUUUAACUUCUUUUAGACAAUGCAGUGCACUGUUUUACUUAGCAAAAGAUGAAUUGAGUCAGGAAAAGCAACAGAUGAUAGAUGAUCAAUGAUGAUUCCUUUAUUCCAGUGAUGUCACUAACUUGCCUGUUGUUUUCAAUGAGAGGCUUGUAGAAUCGUUGAGUUUAAUUUACAUGUUUUGACUUUCUAUGAUCAUAGUUAGUUUUAUUAACUUAGAAAAUUAAAUUCCUAAAGGACGGCAUUACUGAAAUGAAGUUAUUAUCAUGGAAUUGAUAGUCGUGGGUGUCACUUUCAUUUGAAUUAUUUAAAUGUUUCAAUUGGUUGAUAUGUUACUUUUGGUUGUCAAAUGUGCCAAUGGUCAUUAUUGGUCAAUAUCAUAGAAAAAUAAGCCCUAAGAGAUCAACUAAGCCACAAGGAUAUAAUGAGUAGAGAUCAGGGUGUAAGGGGCACUCUCCUAAGAGGGGAGUUCCCUCUCUUACGUAUAACCAAUCCUCGUGUGCCACGUCAACUCUCCUCUUAAACUUCCCUAACACUCUAAAUUGAUGGCGGCACUCCCCUCUUAGGUGACUUGGUUUUUUAUUUAAAAAAAAAAAAUUCAUUGGUCCUUCUUCUCCCUCUCUCCUCCCUCUCUUCGGUGACUUCCCACCGAUUUCAUUCCCCCAAACCACUCACCUAAGUGAUGGAGGCGGUGUUCCCCUUAGGUGACUUGGGUCACCGAAUGGGGUCACCGAAGGUGCCCCUUACACCCUCAUGUGUGUUCAUGAAACAUUCCAAACACUUUCUCAGUUUUCAUGUUUUAGUAUUCAAGUCCACUUAAAGACUUAUUAGUUAUUGAAAUUGUCUUCAGCUUUGCCUUUUUAAGUUUUUAGGCAUAUUAUACAAGUAAUUGUGAACUCAUUUGAUGAGUUACAUAUAAACAUGUGAAUAUGAAUAAAAAAAUUAUGUCAUUACUAUUGGAGGAGCCCUAUCCUACAUCGAAAGAAUAAGACCUUCCGGUUGUAUUAAUAAGAUCUUGGGUUACUCCCUCUAUCACCAAUUGGUUUUAGAGUGGAACCCCAUAGACUCCAAUAUGGUAUCAGAGCCACGGCUCUAUGUCAGCUCCGGUUAAGGCCACGUGUACACCUCUUGAUAGACCGGGUUACACGUGCGGGAGGGUAUUGGAGGAGCCCUAUCCCACAUCGAAAGAAUAAGACCUUCCGGUUGUAUUAAUAAGAUCUUGGGUUACUCCCUCUAUCACCAAUUGGUUUUAGAGUGGAACCCCAUAGACUUCAAUAAUUACGACACUAAAAUAUAUGUCCACCGGACGGAUAUACUACUAGUUGGAUUAUGUGCGGGUGAUCUUGGUAUAUACUAAUUAUUAGACCAUGUGUAGUGGUAGCAAUUUAUAAUGCCCCCAUCAUGGGGCAUUAUAUGACAUGUGGCAUCCUAGUCACACUUGGGCAUUAUAACAAAAGUGGUGUAGUGGGCAUAAUGCCCUAUAAUGCCCUACCAAUCAUUAAACAAAAAAAAAAAAAAUAUUUUCUCAUUGGCUAGUCAAACCCAUUCAAACCUUCCACAAUUCAUUUAGGCGUUUUCAUUAAAACGCCAAACCCAUUUUUCUUUGCCCUAUAAUGCCCUAUAAUGCCCUAUGUAAUGGAGAAGGGGGCGUUUUUUUUGCCCUAUAAUGCCUCAUAAUGCCCCACUACACAUGGUCUUAUUGUCAUCAAGAGAUCUGAUAAUUGUGAUUGUUUCGGUUUAUGUUCUUUAACAAAUUUAUAUAAGCUUUGGUUACCUAAAAGGUUUUUUCAUGUUUGUCCUUUUAAGUUAAAUUAAACAAACAAACCAAAAACACUUAAACGGACAAAAAAAAAAGGUUUCCGUUUCAUUGGUUAAGAAGAAAUCUAAAAAAGGUUUCAGUUUGAUUUGUUAAAGAAGAAAUCUAUGUUUGUAUUUGUUCAUUUACUAGAGUAGUGCUCACGGAAUGUGAGGGAGAACACACCACUUAGGUUGGUGAUUUUAAGGGUGUGCACAAGACGGUUCGAUUCGGUUUGAAGCUAUAUAACCAUAACCAAAACCAAAAAUUUUGGUGCGGUUCAGUUUUGAACCGUCCUAUGAACCAAGAAAAAAUUAAAACUAAACUGCGAGAGGGUCCAUCAACGCAACUAAACAAAGCUGCUAAGGAACUUUGUUAAAUUAUUGUCCUCUAUAUAUGUAUAAGGAUUUUCUUUGGCAGUGUUUCUUCAAGCAAUCGAUGUGAGACAAAUUGUGUUUGAGAAUUCCAACUUUAUAAACUCUAGUAUAUAGGUUAAGUAGAAGGAAAAAAGUAUAAUUUCACUUUCAUUUUAAGACGCUAAACUCCUUUAAGUGUGUUAUAAUUGUGGUAAAAUUACCAUUUUAUUAUAUAUUGGGAUUUCAUGUCACUUAAAGAGGAAAGGUUAAGUUAUCUACUUAAAGUGCACGGUACGGAGGGGCUUGAAGAAAGAGCAUGAAGCGUCAUGUGGCAGCCACGUCAGGAGAGAGAUUUCCCCUUCAAACCCCAAAAACCGCGGGGUGGGAGGGGGCGUAAAAGGACACGUGGCAAUCAGUUUUUUAUUAAAUUUAUGUAAAACAAACAAACCAACAAAUCAGGCUGCGGCACAUCAGCUUCACCAUCUCCCCCACGCCACCAUGCCCACACAGGUUAGGGGCGGUGUGCCGGCGUGGUUGAAGCCCCACGCCAGCUUCAACGCCAGUGGCAUCGUUCAGUCUAAUCUUAGGGAAUGGAUUGGGUCAAACCCAUAGGCCCAAUAAGAUGUGAGGACAAAACCCAAAUACCCUUGCAACCGGUUACAAGUUACAACAGACCGAACCAAUCCAUUUUCACUUGAAAAACAAUUUGAAACCUGAACCAGUUUAAGCAAGAACAUUUUUUGACUUACGUUAACCAAAACCGCGAAGUGCUUUUUGCAACUCUAGUUAUGAAACAGCAAGCAAAUGAGGUGGUGGUGGAGUGAUAAGGGACUAAGGGAGAGACUUGGUGUUCUAAGAGACCUAGGUUUGAUUCAUGCCCUCCCUAUUAUUUUAUGUGGCACCGGGUGAUGAUGAGAGACUAGGCGAAUAGGUGGAGAUCGCUAGUUCGAUCCUUGAACUGAACGGAUUUUACCUCACCGCACUGUCGUGCCUUCGGGCAAGUGUUCACGGGCUUUGGCCCUAAGUGAAGGUUUUCCCCCGUUAGAAGGCGAGUGUAUCUCUAUAUGGUAAAUUUCGUCAGUAAUAUAUUUGGAAGAUUUAUUGUUGAAGUUUAAAAAAAAGUUAUGAACAGCAAGGUUUCGCAGAGUCAAGAGUGACUUUUGUAUCAAUCAGUGUCCUUUUAAGUUUUGAGUAACUUUUAGGGUGCUACUUUCUACACCCCCCCUAUUUACUUUUUUCACCCCCUUCCUCUCACAUACUUACAGGUGGGGCCUGCGUGGGACCGACAGUUCUUCUCUCACAAAGGGGGGUGUAAUCAGAAAGAGGGGGGGUGCGUAUAGAAUGAGCCAACUUUUAAGACUUGUAGGUGAAGCAAGUGGUGGUGGCUAUGCAUAGUGAAUCUGACAUGAAUUUUUUUUUAUGACAUCAUUGAGAGUAUUAUUUAUAAAGUACUUUAGUUGCCUUUAUGUCAUUUUUAGUUGUAUAAGAAUAUAAGAUAAGGUUAAUUGCGUGUAAAGAUGUUAUUGUUAUGUAAAGGUUACUUUU